rnacentral:lncRNA from 1 species
GUCAUUUGCCCUCAAACCUCCAUUACCAUUUACCAUAUCUGUGUUCUCGAAAGUUUUUGAACAAAAAAUGGUAGAAGAAAUCCAGUUCUUUGGAGUCUUUAAAGAAUCAUUGAAAACAGUUUCUCCAUGGAGAAAAUUUUUCAGCCUAAUUACCUUGGGUUUAAUCCUCCCGCUCUCCUUUUACUACAUAAGCCACAUCCAAAUUACAGAACUUUUGUUUACAGACAUAUUGCUCAAUGCAGACAAAUUAGAAGGAUCAUUACAUAAUAAUAUUUCCAGUAUUCUAUCGACCAAGUGGACGACCUUUUUUUUGUUCAAGAUUGGCUACUCGAUUUUCUUCAUCAAUCUUGCCCUUCUUUCGACAUCUGCAGUGGUCUACACAAUCGCCUGCAUCUAUACUGCCAAAGAAAUUAGCUUAACAAAGGUCAUGAGUGCGGUUCCAAAGGUUUUGAAGCGGCUUAUGGAUACAUUCAUCUGGAAUGUCGUUAUUCUUUUCGCUUACAAUAUCAUUGCAUUCUUGAUCUUAAGUUUUGGUGGUGUUUUGCUCGGACCAUCUACGCAUGCUAUGGCGCAUUUCGUUAUAUUUUUUGGCACUGAAUACUUGAUUGGAUUGGUAACUAUCCCCAUAAUUUGGCAUUUGGCAACCGUCAUUUCGGUUUUGGAAGAAUGGCCAAAAGUCAAGCUUUGAUCAAGCGAAAAAUGGUGUUGGAUUAUAUAUAUUUUUUGAAUAAAUAAAUAUUGAAUUAAGAUUAUUUGAUUUUUAUGUAAUUGCAUUUAAUAUUUGAGCAAAUAAUAAAAUGUCACAUGAUCACGGAUAUUAUUAUAAAGUGAG